rnacentral:lncRNA from 1 species
UUUUGCCUAAUUAUAAAUAUUUCAUAUGAUUUCUUUUGAUGUAGUUAGCAUGAAUAUUUUUUAUGCUUGGUUUUGUGAUUAAUAUAGAGAUUCAUGGUUUGGGGUCAUUGUUACUUCUUUAUAUGCUACCUUCUUACUUCGUAUAUAAUUGAUAUUCUUGUUCUUUAAUUUGAUAAAUAUUUAGGCAAUCACAUCAACUGGAACUAAGAAAGGUGAAUUUUUGUUGGCUAAUAUAAGCACUGAGCUGAAGAACAAGAACAUCACAACUAAUGUCAAAGUUGACACUAGCUCUUACCAUGGUGAGUCCAGCCUUCUUAGAUAUACUAUCUAAUUGUGAUUUUUGGGGGUUUUAUUUUUACUUUUUAGCUUUUCACCACUGUUACUGUUGAUGAACCUGCACCGGGUUUGAAGACAAUCUUUAGUUUUAUUGCCCUUGAUCCAAGGUCUGGCAAGGUAAUGGAGACUUCAUUACUCCUGUCAUUAAGCUUUUUGUUCUUAAAUACCAACAUUUUCAACUUCUUGUUUGUCCUUCCCUUCUGCAAACUUCUAGGUCUCAUGAGUACAUGACAAGGUUUUUAUUAUUGUUGUAACAGGUGGAACUACAAUACCAACAUGAAUAUGCUGGCAUAAGCACUAGCAUUGGAUUGACUGCAAAUCCCCUUGUUAACUUUUCUGGCGGUGUGGUUGGAAGCUGUAGGGUCCAAUUUUUGCCCGGCCCGUUAAAUAAAUAAAAAUCAAACAGAAACAAAGGCUAAUGUUUCAGUCCAAUUUUAUUACAAACCCAAUAACGGGCCCAAUAGUUAAUUCCUAACCCAGGCCCGAAAUUAAUGGAAAAGGAAGGGUUUGGAAACCUAGCAGCAGCCUCCCUACUUCCAGCAAAGCCUCCAGCCGCCGCACGUCUCGAGGCCGACUCCUCCACGUGCGCUCCACAAACACCUGCAAGCACGAACUCAAAGAGUCCGAAAGAGAAGAAACAACAAAAAAUAACAAUUAUAUUCGAUUUCUUUUUAUUUUUCGGGCUAUAUAAAGCCGUUUUAUUUUGUAAAAUAGGGAGACCAAUAUUGUAUUGAGGAUAUACUGAAAAAUGGGGAGAAAGAUUCAAAAGAAAUACAAAGUUUUUUAAAAUACAGAGGUGAAUAUUUUUUCGUUGUACCCAAUUUGAUGUUCAUUAUUUUGUUAAAAUCUUUUGUUUGUUUCUUAUUUUCUGCUCAAAAUAUAAAAAAAGAAAGGGAUCUUACCUCUGCCGUCAAGGACGCUGGAUUGUUGCCAUCUCCGCCGCGGUCGGAGCGUCGGCGCAGGCGAACAGCGGUGCAAAAGGAAGGGUUAAA